rnacentral:rRNA from 1 species
GAUAAGCGCUAGCGGCGUGCCUUAUGCAUGCAAGUCGAACGGUUCGCCGAAAGGUGAAUAGUGGCAAACGGCUGAGUAACGCGUAAGCAACCUGUCCUUAAGCGGGGAAUAAUCCGCCGAAAGGUGGAAUAAUACCGCAUGUGGUAGUGGAGGUAGGUUUCCACUACUAAAGCUUUCGGGCGCUUGAGGAGGGGCUUGCGUCCUAUCAGGUAGUUGGUGGGGUAACGGCUCACCAAGCCAAUGACGGGUAGCUGGUUUGAGAGGACGUCCAGCCAGACGGGGACUGAGACACGGCCCCGACUCCUACGGGAGGCAGCAGCAAGGAAUUUUGCGCAAUGGGCGAAAGCCUGACGCAGCAACGCCGCGUGAGGGAAGAAGGCCUUCGGGUUGUAAACCUCUUUUAUCAGGGAAGAAAAAUGACGGUACCUGAUGAAUAAGUCACGGCUAACUACGUGCCAGCCGCCGCGGUAAUAC